AUUGAACGCUGGCGGCAGGCCUAACACCUGCAAGUCGGGCGGAGCGGCGGACGGGUGAGUAAUGUAUGGGGAUCUGCCUGAUGGCGGGGGAUAACUACUGGAAACGGUAGCUAAUACCGCAUACCAUCAGCUGCACCCAUAUGGGAUAAGCUAGUAGGUGAGGUUACGGCUUACCUGGGCGACGAUCCCUAACUGGUAUGCGAGGAUGAUCAGCCACACUGGGACUGGUACACGGCCCAGACUCCUACGUGAGGAAGCAGGGGGGAAUAUUGGAAAAUGGGCGAAAGCCUUAUCCAGCCAUGCCGCGUGUGUGAAGAAGGUCUUCGGAUUGUAAAGCACUUUAAGUUGGGAGGCGUUACCAACAGAAUAAGCACCGGCUAACGUCGUGCCAGCAGCCGCGGUAAUAC
rnacentral:rRNA from 1 species